rnacentral:rRNA from 1 species
AACGAACGCUGGCGGCAUGCCUAACACAUGCAAGUCGAACGAGACCUUCGGGUCUAGUGGCGCACGGGUGCGUAACGCGUGGGAACCUUCCCUUAGGUUCGGAAUAACUCCCCGAAAGGGGUGCUAAUACCGGAUAAUGUCUUCGGACCAAAGAUUUAUCGCCUUUGGAUGGGCCCGCGUUGGAUUAGCUAGUUGGUAGGGUAAAAGCCUGCCAAGGCGACGAUCCAUAGCUGGUCUGAGAGGAUGAUCAGCCACACUGGGACUGAGACACGGCCCAGACUCCUACGGGAGGCAGCAGUGGGGAAUAUUGGACAAUGGGCGAAAGCCUGAUCCAGCAAUGCCGCGUGAGUGAUGAAGGCCUUAGGGUUGUAAAGCUCUUUUACCCGGGAUGAUAAUGACAGUACCGGGAGAAUAAGCUCCGGCUAACUCCGUG